rnacentral:rRNA from 1 species
CGCGUAGGCGGACCUGUAAGUCAGAUGUGAAAUCUCGGUGCUCAACACCGAAACUGCGUCUGAAACUGCAGGUCUAGAAUCUUGGAGGGGGGAGUGGGGAAUUUCGCAUGUAGGGGGUAAAAAUCCGUAGAGAUGCGAAGGAACACCAGUGGCGAAGGCGCACUCCUGGACAAGUAUUGACGCUGAGGCGCGAAAGCGUGGGGAUCAAACA